GACUUUGCCUUCAAGGGGAGAUACCAUGAUCAUAAAGUUGGUAUUCCUAGGGUCAGGCUUAUCCAAUGCACACAGGAUGUGUUGACCCUUUCUCCAGAUACAAGAAACUGCACAAUUUGUGGUAGUGGCGGACUGCAUUCACUCUCUUCCCUG
rnacentral:snRNA from 1 species